GUCUGUGUAGUGUAUUGGUUUGAGCAUUGGACUAUGACUCUGGAUGAGCAGGGUUCAAAUCCCUGCUUGGCCA